rnacentral:lncRNA from 1 species
UUAGGUCCAAACCCUUGAAUUAUUCUUUAUCCCUGUUUUUCUCCCUCACCUCAUUAAAUCCAACUUCAAAUCCUGCCAGUUUGACCUUCAAGAGGUACCCAGAAUUCAUCUGUCUCUCAACACCACCAACAACCACAGCCUGAUCCAAGCCCCCAUCAUCUGUUGCUUGCAAUAUGACCGUAGCCUCCUCACUGGUCUCACCGCUUCUGCUCCUACCUCACUUUCUGUCCCUUCUCCUCCUUUUAAGCAGCCACGGGGAGCUUCUGAAAAAAUCUAAGUCACAUCAUAU